GCUUCCAAGCUAGUAUUCAGAUGGCUCCUUACGAAGCACUAUACGGGCGGAAGUGUAGGUCGCCGAUCGGUUGGUUCGAGGUCGGGGAAGCAGAGUUGCUAGGUCCUAACUUAGUCCAGCAAGCAAUGGAAAAGGUAAAACUUAUUAGAGACCGGCUGCGUACAGCACAAAGUCGGCAAAAGUCUUAUGCAGAUGUUCGACGACGAGACUUAGAGUUUGAUGUAGAAGAUUGGGUUUUCCUGAAAGUAUCGCCUAUGAAGGGCGUCAUGCGAUUUGGAAAGAAGGGGAAGCUCAGCCCCAGGUAUGUUGGACCGUAUAAGAUUAUUCGGAGGAUUGGUAGGGUGGCGUACGAGCUUGAUUUGCCUUUAGAAUUGGAAGCAGUCCAUCCUGUGUUUCAUGUAUCUAUGUUGCGGAAGUGCAUUGGAGAUCCUUCACGUAUUACGCCCAUUGAGGAUAUUCACAUUGCUGAAGACUUAUCUUAUGCAGAGGUACCAGUAGUUAUUUUAGAUCGGCAGGUAAGGAAGCUUCGAACUAAAGAAGUGGCUUCCGUGAAACUGUUAUGGCGAAAUAACAACAUCGAGGAAAUGACCUGGGAAGCUGAGGAGGAAAUGAAGAAGAAGUACCCCCACCUAUUUACGAAUUAAGGUGAGUCGCAUUUAAAUAAUUGCCAAUUAUUUCUUUACAGCAACUUAAUUGGAUUUUAAAUGACUUGAAAGUGCAAUUUAAAUUUUUUUUUAUUGCGAGAUAGCUAUACGAAGCCUAGUAGUUGGAAUCUUCAGAAGUGUUGUAAUCGUUUUACUUUAAUCGAAAGAGAAGUGUUGCUGCAGUUCGCAUUGUGUUACCUUGUUUGGGUUGAUUUUACGCCUUUCAUAGGUAAUCGAAAUAGCUUAGAGAGUUAUCAAUUGACCCAAUAUGGAAAAAUAGUCGAGAGACAUACUUCCAAAGAUCAUUCAUUCACUGUAUUUUUGCAUGUGUUCAUAGGGCAUGUCAUUAGGUUGGUUAACGGAACUCUCAUUCAUUCGGAAGAAGAAUUUAAAUCCUCAAGAUAGCCUAAUCAUCUAUUGAAAUCGAAAGAGUCAAUAGAAGUUAAGAGUGAACUUAGCACGGAGCUACCCAGAAUAAUAGUUGAUCGAAUAUCUUGUCACAGCCCUUACUUCGCACCUUGAUAUUCAAUCGUUGCUACUUAGUCACUAAAUUUUCAUUACUUUCUCACAAUCGAUAAUCUUAGUUUUUAUUAUUAGUCGGUAAUAACUUAAAUCAAAGGUUUAUUUCCUAGAUAGUGUUAAGCUGAAGAUUUAUUAGAACAUUAUUUAUCACAAUCCCUGAGGAGACAAUUUAAUACUAUACUAUCUUUGACUAGCGAGCCUAAGUUUUAUACACCGGUUUUGCGCUCGUCAAAUUUUGGUGCUGUUGUCAGGGAUUGGCGAUUAAUAUUGUUUGAAAUAAUUUUCGGUGCUAAUUCAGGAAUAAUUUUUUUUAUUUUAUUUUCCUUUUUACGCUCUUCUUAUCUGUGUGCAGGCAACAAGUUAAGUUUAGUGGUGUAUGAUUCGAUCCUCUUCCAAGGAAUUGGUGCCAUACGAUCCAGAAUUAGACAAGCACCUGCGAUUGAGGGGGAGAAAGAAUCGAGCACAGCGUUAUUGGGUCAGACUUCGACUCAAAUUACAAUGGUGAACAACAAAAAGGACGUGAACCUAGAUGUGAGAGAGGCAGCUCAAUAACAGGAUGCACGGUUAGCAGCAGAAGCAGCCUGUAGAGCUGCGGAUGAAACAAUCGGCGAAGAUCGAAGGUUCAAUCUCAACUGAACCAUGAUCGAAGAUGAAUUUGAUAAUGCAGCUCCCUGGCAUGGGAGGUCUCUAGGAGAUUAUGACUGACCGGUAUACAACCAACAACAAUCUAGUGUGAGGCCCACACCCAUUGAUGCCAACAAUUUUGAACUCAAGCAGAGAGUCAUCCAGACCAUUCAGAACAACUGCAUUUUCAGAGGCAAACCCAAUGAAGAUCCCAACAACCAUCUGAUGGACUUCGAUAAAAUUAUGAACACAUUCCGCUGCAAUGGAGCAUCAUAUGAUGCAAUCUAUCUCAGAGCACUCCCUUUCUCACUUAAGGAUGAUGCAAAGCAGUGGUUGAGAAGUCUACCCACAGGUUCAAUCCGCACGUGGGAGGAGAUGACUACCAAGUUCUUAGAAAAAUAUUUCUCUACUGCUAAGACUGGACGGAUGAGGAAGGAGAUUCACAAUUUCAGCCAAGGUGAAGGGGAGACAGUGUUCGAGGCACGGGAAAGAUUUAAGGAGCUAUUGCGGAGGUGCCCUCAUGACGGAAUGCAGCAAUGGAUGCAACUCCAAGAUUUCUGGGGCGGGUUAAACCCGUCAUCAAGGAAAUUGUUGAAUAGUGCGGUUGCAGGUCCUCUGAUGAAGAAAACUCCAGAAGAGAUUGUCACACUUCUGAAUGAACUAUCUAAAGACGCAGAACAAUGGUCCACUGACCAAGGGGAUCGAAGAAGAUCAGCGGCGAUGCACCAAGUAGAAUCGUCUGGAUGUGUUCCAGCGCAAAGGAGGUGUGAGAAAAUAUAAGCAUCCAGUCCAACACUAGCCGUAUAGAUAUUACCAGUGAAUGAUUCAUGAUCAAUUUCUUUUAACCAAGGUCCUACGUGAUAAUAAUUACUAACUUAAUAUGAGAUCUUAUCGUUUGAAUAUGGGACGACUUUGGACAGUAUAGAGCAGAUAAGGGUUCAUUAAAGGAAAAAAAAUAUUUUGAAGGUUUCUCCCAUGAAAGAGGUUAUAAUAUGUCGUAAAAAUGAUACAUUCAUGACCAUCGACAUAUUAUUCAUCUCAAGGAAGUGAAACUAAUUGAAAAUAUGACUUACGAGGAAGGUUCAAUAUCUAGUGCUGAUAGACAAGUGUGAUAACUAAGGUCGAAAAAGGUUGCUUAAGUGAAAAUAUUGUGGCGCAUAUCCAAUUGAGAAUGCUAAGUGAGAGUACGAGACAAACAUGCGAAACAUGUACCAUAGUUGUUUGAGAAAUCAGGUACACUUUUUAACUCGUUCGAGGAGGAAUGCUUGUUUAAGUGGGGGAGAAUGUAAUAGUUGAAAAUUUUAUACAUACUUAUUAAUGAGUUUUAAAAUUUAUUAAAUAGUUAGUGGGCCUAAUUUAUAAUUAUACAUGCUAGUGAGCAUGGAAGUAAUUUUAAAUAAUAAUAAUAAUAAUAAGGAUAAAAGGAGUGGGCCCAAAACCUACAUCUUAUGCAACUACAUGUUUUAGGACUUACAAAUUUAAAUAGGGAAAAUAUUGAUUUCCUGUUUCAUUAGAAGAUACAAUAAUAUAGGGAAGAAUAAUGAAGGCACUGUGGCGGUGGAAACAAUUAGUGGGAUUUUACUACUCUUUGGAAAGCUUCUUGGCGGAAUUUUUGCGGAAGGAAAGGGCUAUAAAAUCAGAUUGAGGCCAUUGGAGGCCGUUUGAUUGGUGUUCUAGACGUUGCAAGGUUGGGGAACUUUCCGUUAGCGAGAUACUAUUACGGACGAUAGAGCUAGUGGCUGAAGAGUUCGUUCGGGCCGAUUUUGUUGCUGAGGUGAGCCACCGCAUUGUUCGUGGAGGCUAUCACUGUAUCUUUAUCUAGUUUAUGUCGGUUAUUUCCUUUUCUUUAGGGUUUGCAUACCCGCCAAUUUAACUCAUGUCACUCUGUUAGAUACUCCAUGAUUUUAGUGUGGGAUUUGAGUUAGAGUAUUAUUAUUUGAGUGACCGUUGGUCUUUCUA